UACAGAGGUCUCAAGCGUUGUUCGGAUUCAUUGGGCGUAAAGGGUGCGUAGGUGGCGGGGCAAGUUUGGUGUGAAAUCCCGGGGCUCAACCCCGGAACUGCACUGAAUACUGCCUUGCUUGAGCACUGGAGAGGGAACUGGAAUUUACGGUGUAGCAGUGAAAUGCGUAGAUAUCGUAAGGAAGACCAGUGGCGAAGGCGAGUCUCUGGACAGCAACUGACGCUGAGGCACGAAGGCCAGGGGAGCAAACGGG
rnacentral:rRNA from 1 species